CCUACGGGAGGCAGCAGUGGGGAAUCUUGCACAAUGGGCGAAAGCCUGAUGCAGCAACGCCGCGUGCGGGAAGAAGGCCCUAGGGUUGUAAACCGCUUUCAGCAGGGAAGAAAAUGACGGUACCUGUAGAAGAAGGUGCGGCCAACUACGUGCCAGCAGCCGCGGUGACACGUAGGCACCAAGCGUUGUCCGGAUUUAUUGGGCGUAAAGAGCUCGUAGGCGGUUCGGUAAGUCGGGUGUGAAAACUCUGGGCUCAACCCAGAGCCGCCACCCGAUACUGCUGUGACUCGAGUGCGGUAGGGGAGCGGGGAAUUCCUGGUGUAGCGGUGAAAUGCGCAGAUAUCAGGAGGAACACCAGUGGCGAAGGCGCCGCUCUGGGCCGUGACUGACGCUGAGGAGCGAAAGCGUGGGUAGCAAACAGGAUUAGAUACCCUUGUAGU
rnacentral:rRNA from 1 species